rnacentral:rRNA from 1 species
GAUCCUGGCUCAGAUUGAACGCUGGCGGCAGGCCUAACACAUGCAAGUCGAACGGUAACAGGAAGAAGCUUGCUUCUUUGCUGACGAGUGGCGGACGGGUGAGUAAUGUCUGGGAAACUGCCUGAUGGAGGGGGAUAACUACUGGAAACGGUAGCUAAUACCGCAUAACGUCGCAAGACCAAGGAGGGGGACCUGGCGUCUGUCNUCGGAGUGUGCCACGAUGGAGUUAGUCUAGUAGGUGGGGUAACGGG